AUUAUUAUUAUUAUUAUGUUGGUUUUGCAGAAGUAAGAAGGCUCUGCACAAAAAACUUGCAACUUAAAACAAAAAGGUCUGUGUAGUGUAAAAUUUUUCCCAGAAGGCUAAUAAAAAUGUACUUUGCUCUGUCAAAGCGUUUUACACAGCUCAGUGCCAAAACACUGAA